GACGAACGCUGGCGGCGUGCUUAACACAUGCAAGUCGAACGGAAAGGCCCUGCUUGCAGGGUACUCGAGUGGCGAACGGGUGAGUAACACGUGGGUGAUCUGCCCUGCACUUCGGGAUAAGCCUGGGAAACUGGGUCUAAUACCGGAUAGGAGCCAUUUUUAGUGUGAUGGUUGGAAAGUUUUUUCGGUGUAGGAUGAGCUCGCGGCCUAUCAGCUUGUUGGUGGGGUAAUGGCCUACCAAGGCGGCGACGGGUAGCCGGCCUGAGAGGGUGGACGGCCACAUUGGGACUGAGAUACGGCCCAGACUCCUAAGGGGGGCAGCAGUGGGGAAUAUUGCAAAAUGGGGGCAAGCCUGAUGCAGCGAAGCCGCGGGGGGGAUGACGGCCUUCGGGUUGUAAACUCCUUUCGCUAGGGACGAAGCUUUUUGUGACGGUACCUAGAUAAGAAGCACCGGCUAACUACGUG
rnacentral:rRNA from 1 species